rnacentral:rRNA from 1 species
CGGCGAGUGAAGCGGUAACAGCUCAAAUUUGAAAUCUGGCUCCUCUGGAGUCCGAGUUGUAAUUUGUAGAAGAUGCUUUGGGUUGUGGGUUCGGCCUAAGUUCCUUGGAACAGGACGUCAUAGAGGGUGAGAAUCCCGUAUGCGGCCGAGGCCCGCGCCUAUGUAAAGCUCUUUCAACGAGUCGAGUUGUUUGGGAAUGCAGCUCAAAAUGGGUGGUAAAUUUCAUCUAAAGCUAAAUAUGGGCCAGAGACCGAUAGCGCACAAGUAGAGUGAUCGAAAGAUGAAAAGCACUUUGGAAAGAGAGUUAAACAGUACGUGAAAUUGUUGAAAGGGAAGCGCUUGCACCCAGACUUGGGCGCUGCUGAUCACCUUGCGGUCUCCGCGAGUGCACUCGACAGCGCACAGGCCAGCAUCGGUUCGGGUGGCUGGAUAAAGGCCGUAGGAACGUAGCUCCCUUCGGGGAGUGUUAUAGCCUAGGGUGCCAUGCAGCCCAGCCGGACCGAGGACCGCGCCUUCGGGCUAGGAUGCUGGCGUAAUGGGUGUAAGCGACCCGUCUUGAAACACGGACCAAGGAGUCUAACAUCUAUGCGAGUGUUUGGGUGGUAAACCCAUACGCGGAAUGAAAGUGAACGUAGGUGAGAACCCCUUUGGGGCGCAUCAUCGACCGAUCCUGA